ensembl:lncRNA
GAAAACACAAAACAAAAUGCAAAAUAGCACAAGAAUAAAGUGAAAACAUGACGAUUAGGGAGCUGAUCUCACCCUUGGACCAGACCUGGACACUGGUUAAUUAGUACCACACCAGGGAGGAUGAAUAAAUGGUUUCACUUCCUCCUCCAACCCAACCACAUCAAACUGAUACUUGACAAACAAAAUAAUCAUCACGUGGGAGACAGUGAGACAGCCAAUCAGAAUAAAUACACCUUUAAUUGACUCAUCAGAGACCUGACGAUACAAACGCCACCACAGAGCUACCGUAUGAAAUAAAAGACCAAUCAGGAUACGGUUCUGAAAUAACAGACCAAUCAGCUUACAGAGCUCUGAAAUAACAGACCAAUCAGAUUACAGUGAGACAAUAGGACUGUACAUCCUCAAGAUGGCCGUUCCCUAAGCCCAUCCCUCCCAAUUUAGAGUAACUACAGGCUUAUAACCCACUAGUGCUUCUCCAACCAAACCCCCUUCCUCAUCUAUAUCUACAUGUGAGAGCCAAGUUACAGAGAGAGUCUGCCCAACUUUAGAGCCCGACAUCAUUCGCUGCCAGCCUUGGGCAUCUGAAUCAUCUAUCCAACCAUGCGUGAUAAUGACUUUGGUUGUGGUUCUAGUACUACUUCGUUUAGUUAGAAUACUCAUAAGCUUAAAGAUUGUGACAUUCAGAUCAUUUCACACAUUAUCUUGCUUUGUGGUUUGAAACAUCAAUGGGGAAAAACUCUCUCCUUACGUGGCUCUGACUUGCCUGGGUAGAAGUCUCUCUGGCAUAGCGUCCACCCCCUGUACUGUAUUGGACAAUUACAGGUUUCCAUCAACAGUUUUUACGCAAUAAAGUCAUGUAGUAUAUAAAGUAUGUAUAUAUAAAAGAAAUAACAGGUGUGAAGGAAAAUUAAUUGCCUGUAAAAUACUGUCAAAAGACAAUUCGUUUGACUAAUAGGGAUCUUGUGUCAGUAAAAUAAGAUUGUUUCUGCAAAAACAUUGAAAAAAUAAGCAAAACGUCAAAGCAAACUUGGAGUCAAGCAGUGGUUAGGUUCUGUGUUCCUCCAACAACAAACUGGGAAAUUGUACAGUUCGUUAUGAUGAAAUGAAUGCCAUCGUUCUUCAUUGGGUGGUGAACGCGAAAGGGGAGGAGCAUGGUGCUUCUCUCCGCUAAACAUUUAAGGUCAUAUUCUGGUUGCCGUUGGACAAAUCAAAAUGAUCCUUCCCUUAUCCUCCGUAGCCUCAUAACCUAGUUUUCACUAGUCAAUCGGCACCGUAUUUGCGACCUGUUGGCCAGAACACAGAUACCAAGUCUUACUUGACUUCGUUUUUCGGUAACAAAACUAUCAGAACAUUUGAAAAUGUAUGAAAACCCUUAACAAACUGUGUAUUUGUUAACGGAAAACAACCUUUUAUAGAAUGUCAUGGUGCACUGUUUUCUAAAUCCAAAUAAAUGUGUUUUGUGUAAACUGCAAUGUUGGGAACACAAUAUUUGCAUUUCAAUGUCGCCAACUGAAUGGAAACCGAGCUAAUCGCAGAGAGUGUAAUGUUAGCUAAAGAGACAGGUACCCAUUAGGCUCAUUUUGUAAUACUCUCCAUCAGUCAAUCACACACACACACGCACACGCAUCUCAGUAUGUAUAUGUACACAAAUCCUUCAUUAUCUCCUACAGUAACUAACCCUACAGUAUGGAAGGAGCCCAAAAACCUCUCAUAGUAAAAAGACAGAAAUCUGGAGGGCUUCUUCCAUUCUCCACUACCUCUUUCUUCCUCCCUCUCC